AUUGAACGCUGGCGGCAGGCCUAACACAUGCAAAUCGAGCGGUAGCACAGAGAGCUUGCUCUCGGGUGACGAGCGGCGGACGGGUGAGUAAUGUCUGGGAAACUGCCUGAUGGAGGGGGAUAACUACUGGAAACGGUAGCUAAUACCGCAUAACGUCGCAAGACCAAAGAGGGGGACCUUCGGGCCUCUUGCCAUCAGAUGUGCCCAGAUGGGAUUAGCUAGUAGGUGGGGUAACGGCUCACCUAGGCGACGGUCCGUAGCGGGUCGGCGAGGAUGACCACCCACACAGGACCUGAGACACGGUCCAGCCUCCUACGGGAGGCAGCAGUGGGGAAUAUUGCACAAUGGGCGCAAGCCUGAUGCAGCCAUGCCGCGUGUAUGAAGAAGGCCUUCGGGUUGUAAAGUACUUUCAGCGGGGAGGAAGGUGUUGAGGUUAAUAACCUCAGCAAUUGACGUUACCCGCAGAAGAAGCACCGGCUAACUCCGUGCCAGCCGCCGCCGUAA
rnacentral:rRNA from 1 species